UACGUAGGGUGCAAGCGUUGUCCGGAAUUAUUGGGCGUAAAGAGCUCGUAGGCGGUUUGUCGCGGUCUGCUGUGAAAACCCGAGGCUCAACCUCGGGCCUGCAGUGGGUACGGGCAGACUAGAGUGCGGUAGGGGAGAUUGGAAUUCCUGGUGUAGCGGUGAAAUGCGUAGAGAGUCGGGAGGAACACCAGUGGCGAAGGCGGCUACCUGGACCGAGCACUGACACUGGAGGCACGAAGCGUGGGGAGCAAACAGG
rnacentral:rRNA from 1 species